AGAACGAACGCUGGCGGCAUGCCUAAUACAUGCAAGUCGAACGAACACUUCGGUGUUAGUGGCGCACGGGUGCGUAACGCGUGGGAAUCUGCCCUUGGGUUCGGAAUAACAGUUGGAAACGACUGCUAAUACCGGAUGAUAUCGAAAGAUCAAAGAUUUAUCGCCCAGGGAUGAGCCCGCGUAGGAUUAGCUAGUUGGUGAGGUAAAGGCUCACCAAGGCGACGAUCCUUAGCUGGUCUGAGAGGAUGAUCAGCCACACUGGGACUGAGACACGGCCCAGACUCCUACGGGAGGCAGCAGUAGGGAAUAUUGGACAAUGGGCGCAAGCCUGAUCCAGCAAUGCCGCGUGAGUGAUGAAGGCCUUAGGGUUGUAAAGCUCUUUUACCCGAGAUGAUAAUGACAGUAUCGGAGAAUAAGCCCCGCUAACUCCGUGCCAGCAGCCGC
rnacentral:rRNA from 1 species